rnacentral:pre_miRNA from 1 species
AUAAUAAUCCCCUGGGGAUCUUGUUAAACUGAUUCUGAUUCAAUAGGUCUGGGAUGGGGCCCUGGUUCUGCAGUUCUAAUAAGCUCCCAGGUGAUGCUGAU